AGAGUGUGCACAUUUAUGAAGCUUUUAUCAGAAAAACAAAUGCCCAAAAUGACUGUUUACUCUGAUUUUUAAAGGCCUCCCAAAGUGCUGGGAUUAUAGGCGUGAGCCACCGCGCCCGGCCCAAAGUUGUCUCUUCCCAGGAAAACAUUUUAGGUCAAAGAGUCAAAGGCUAUUCCAUUAGAUUACCAAAACCCUUGAAGUUUGUUAAACACGUGCCACCACACCCAGCUAAUUUUUUUUGUGUAUGUAUGUGUUUUAGUAGAGAUGGGGUUUCACCACGUUGGCCAGGCUGGUCUCGAACUGCUGAGCUCAGGCAAUCUGCCCACUUCGGCCUCUCAAAGUGCUAAGAUUACAGGCAUGAGCCACCAUGCCUGGCCCAAAGCCAUUUACUUCUAAUAAAUAUCCUUAUUAAUUUGUUAAUUAUUAAUUCAUGCCCAACUCUCUCCACAAAAAAAUUUAAAACCAUUUUUAAAAGUGUGAGAAGUUGUAGCAGGUUUUAUUUUCCGAAACAGCCACAGCAGUAUUUCCCAUCCUUUCCAGAAUCUUGUCAUUUCUCAAUUGAAAGAUGGACUCUAUUUUCCUUCCCUGGGAAGGACUGUGUUUCCACCCUGAGGAAGAAAAUGUGGUAGCAGUAAUGCUACCUAACUUCCAAAGCUAGGUCAUAAAAGGCAAUAUAGCUCCUGCCCAGCUCAUUCUAUCUUGGGAUAGAAUCUUGUGGUACCCAGUGGGUACCCAGCCACUAUGUCAGUCAUAUGAACAGGUGACAUGUAGGUGUUCUGGCCAUAGCCCCAGUUGUUUUUGUCUUGUCACUUAACAGCAUAUAAGUGAAUAUAUUAGUCCAUUUUCACGCUGCUGAUAAAGACAUAAUGAGACUGGGAAGAAAAAGAGGUUUAAUUGGACUUACAGUUCCACAUGGCUGGGCAGGCCUCCAAAUCAUGGCGGGAGGUGAAAGGCACUUCUUACCUGGCUGCAGCAAGAGAAAAAUGAGGAAGAAGCAAAAGUGGAAAUCCCUGAUAAACCCAUCGGAUCUCAUGAGACUUAUUCACUAUCACGAGAAUAGUAUGGGAAUUACCAGCCCCCAUGAUUCAGUGAUCUCUCCCUGAGUUCCUCCCACAACAAGUGGGAAUUCUGGGAGAUACAAUUCAAGUUGAGAUUUGGGUGGGGACACAGCCAAACCAUAUCAGUGAGCAAACCUUCAGAUGAUUCCAGCUUCCAGCCUUUGAGCGGCCCCAGGUGAUGCCAUGUGGAGCAUAGACAAGCUGUCCUGCCAAGCCCUGCCCAAAGUGUGUAUUUGUGAACAAAAUAAAUAUGGAUUUUUUUUAAGUCACUAUGUUUUGGGAUAGUUUGGUAUAUAAGACUAGAUAACUGAAACACUACUAUAAACUCAUACCAUAGUUAUGAGAAUAAGGUAAAAGGAAAAUAAAACUAGAAAAGGAAUAAACCUAGCAACAAGAAGAGUUUGGGGGGAACCAAAGCUUUAUUUAUUUCUGAAAUACG
rnacentral:lncRNA from 10 species